AUGGUUUCGUCGGUUUCCUUGCACAGUCUGCAUUUUGGGUCAUCAGCUGAUUUUUCAAUCUUGGCCUUAAUUGUAUUUGUUCUGAUGGCUUGCUCCUGGGCUGCAAGGAUCAGGCCUUCUGUCUCCUUCUUCAGGGUCCCAUUCGUGAGCCAGAGCCAGGUCUUCUCCUUAUCAGCUUUUCCUUCAAUUUUGUCAAGGAACUUUCCAUGCAGUGUUUUGUUGUGCCAGCUGUCAGCUCUAGUUUGUAGUGCGGUUUUCUUGUACUGGUUUUUUUCAGCUCUAGUUUGUAGUGCGGUUUUCUUGUACUGGUUUUUUGUCUGCUGUGUUUUGAGGAGUUUCUGAUUUUUGACUUCAAUCAAAGCAGGUUCUUCACUUUGCUUGACAUAUUCUGCCAGGGCAUGUUCUUCUUCUUUGACUGCUUGCUUUACUUGUAAGAGUCCUCUGCCCCCUGAUCUUCUAGGCAGAUAGAGCCGGUCAACAUCACUGCGAGGGUGCAGGGAAUGAUGAAUGGUCAUGAGUUUUCUUGUUUUUCUGUCCAAAUUGUCCAGUUCCACCUGUGUCCAAUUUAUAAUGCCAGCAGUAUAUCUUAUGACAGGUAUGGCCCAGGUGUUUAUGGCCUUGAUGGUGUUGCCUCCAUUGAGCUUGCUUUUGAGAAUUUUUCUGACCCUUUGUGUGUAUUCUUUGCUGACUACAGUUUUCACAUGUUCAUGCUUGAUGUUGUCCAGCUGUAAUAUGCCCAGAUAUUUAUAGGCCUCUGGCUGGUGACACUUUAUUGUUUGGCCAUUGGGCAUCUUUAUGCCCUCACUUUCAAUGAUUUUUCCCUUCUUCAAUGCCACUGUCGAACAUUUGUCCAAACCAAACUCCAUGUUGAUAUCAGUGCUAAAAAUUCGGACAGUGUUGGUCAGAGAGGAGCACAACCAAGAGCACCUAACCCAAUAGCAUUAUGGAGAAUCAAACCCAAAAGAAGUCUAUACUGGCUCAGUCGUCGCCCAGGAUAAAAAGGACCGCGGUGGAUGCUGCUGAUUCUGGACAUCCAUCGACAAGUGGGCUACGGAAUCAUCAAAACCCAAAUGAACAGUCACAGAAGCGGCAAAAAUAUACAAUGCCAGAAAACCGCACAAUUAUUAUUAUUAUUAUUAUUAUUAUUAUUAUUAUUAUUAUUCACACAACGAUGUUGUAUGACACAGCAAACGAGAUAGACAUGCUGGAUUUCGUUUCACAAAACCACAAGUCGAACACUUCCCAAGUGUCUAGGACUGUGUGAUGUAUUUUCGGAUGAUGCGUGCAGAUCCCAGCAGGGUGGCCUUUUGCAGUUGGCAGAUCGUAAUUUUGUCAAUGUCUAUUGUUUCCAAAUGCCGGCUGAGAUCUUUUGGCACGGCACCCAUUAUUAUUAUUAUUAUUAUUAUUAUUAUUAUUAUUAUUAUUAUUAUUAUUAUUAUUAUUUCC
rnacentral:lncRNA from 1 species